GUUGUAUGGUUAAGUAAUUAAGCGUACACGGUGGAUGCCUUGGCAGUCAGAGGCGA
rnacentral:rRNA from 1 species